rnacentral:rRNA from 1 species
AUUGAACGCUGGCGGCAGGCCUAACACAUGCAAGUCGAGCGAGCGGCGGACGGGUGAGUAAUGUAUGGGGACUGCCCGAUAGAGGGGGAUAACUACUGGAAACGGUGGCUAAUACCGCAUACUAUCGGAUAACCAAUAUGGGAUUAGCUAGUAGGUGGGGUAAAGUCUCACCUAGGCUACGAGAUCUAGCUGUGCUGAGAGGAUGAUCAGCAAAAAGGGGACUGAGACAGGGCCAAGACUCCUACGGAGGCAGCAGUGGGGAAUAUUGCACAAGGGGCGCAAGCCUGAGGCAGCCAUGCCGGGGGUAUGAAGAAGGCCUUAGGGUUGUAAAGUACUUUCAGCGGGGAGGCGUUACCCGAAGAAGAAGCACCGGCUAACUCCGUGCCAGCAGCCGCGGUAAUAC